rnacentral:rRNA from 1 species
AGGGUUCGAUUAUGGCUCAGAACGUACGCUGGCGGCACGCCUAACACAUGCAAGUCGAACGCAGUAGCAAUACUGAGUGGCGAACGGGUGAGUAUAAUGUGGGUAUCUGCCUUUUGGUGAGGAAUAACACGAGGAAACUUGUGCUAAUACUUCAUAAGCCUUCACAGGGAAAGUUUUAUACGCCAAAAGAUGAGCCCGCACUUGAUUAGCUAGUUGGUAAGGUAAUAGCUUACCAAGGCUACGAUCAAUAGCUGAUCUGAGAGGAUGAUCAGCCACAUUGGGACUGAGACACGGCCCAAACUCCUACGGGAGGCAGCAGUGGGGAAUCUUGCACAAUGGGGGAAACCCUGAUGCAGCGAUGCCGCGUGAGUGAAGAAGGCCCUUGGGUUGUAAAGCUCUUUCGUCGGGGAAGAAAAUGACUGUACCCGAAUAAGAAGGUCCGGCUAACUUCGUGCCAGCCGCCGCGGUAAUAC